AACGAACGCUGGCGGCGUGCCUAACACAUGCAAGUCGAACGGAAUUAGAGAGCUUGCUCUUUGAUUUAGUGGCGCACGGGUGAGUAACGCGUAGAUAAUCUGCCUGACGAUCUGGGAUAACACUUCGAAAGAGGUGCUAAUACCGGAUAAGCCCACGGGUUCUUUGGAAUCUGCGGGAAAAGGGGGGGACCUUCGGGCCUUCUGUCGUCAGAUGAGUCUGCGUACCAUUAGCUAGUUGGUAGGGUAAAGGCCUACCAAGGCGACGAUGGUUAGCUGGUCUGAGAGGAUGAUCAGCCACACUGGAACCGAGACACGGUCCAGACUCCUACGGGAGGCAGCAGUGGGGAAUUUUGCGCAAUGGGCGAAAGCCUGACGCAGCAACGCCGCGUGAGUGAUGAAGGCUUUCGGGUCGUAAAGCUCUGUCAAUGGGAAAGAAGUGUGUGGAGGUUAAUACCCUUUGCACUUGACGGUACCCUCAAAGGAAGCACCGGCUAACUCCGUGCCAGCAGCCGCAGUAAAAC
rnacentral:rRNA from 1 species